rnacentral:tRNA from 1 species
GGGCCGGUAGCUCAAUUGGCGGAGCGCGUGGCUGGCAGUCACGAGGUUGUGGGUUCGACCCCCAUCCGGUCCA